rnacentral:rRNA from 1 species
GUGGGGAAUAUUGGACAAUGGGCGAAAGCCUGAUCCAGCAAUGCCGCGUGAGUGAUGAAGGCCUUAGGGUUGUAAAGCUCUUUUACCCGGGAAGAUAAUGACUGUACCGGGAGAAUAAGCCCCGGCUAACUCCGUGCCAGCAGCCGCGGUAAUACGGAGGGGGCUAGCGUUAUUCGGAAUUACUGGGCGUAAAGCGUACGUAGGCGGUGGUUCAAGUCAGAGGUGAAAGCCCGGAGCUCAACUCCGGAACUGCCUUUGAAACUAGAUCGCUAGAACAUCGGAGAGGUAAGUGGAAUUCCGAGUGUAGAGGUGAAAUUCGUAGAUAUUCGGAAGAACACCAGUGGCGAAGGCGGCUUACUGGACGAUUGUUGACGCUGAGGUACGAAAGCGUGGGGAGCAAACAGGAUUAGAUACCCGGGUAGUCC